GAUGAACGCUAGCGGCAGGCCUAACACAUGCAAGUCGAGGGGUAUAGGGAGCUUGCUUCCUAGAGACCGGCGCACGGGUGCGUAACGCGUAUGCAAUCUACCUUGUACAGGGGAAUAGCCCAGAGAAAUUUGGAUUAAUGCCCCAUAGUAUUAUUAAAUGGCAUCCUUUAAUAAUUAAAGUUCCAACGGUACAAGAUGAGCAUGCGUCCUAUUAGUUAGUUGGUGUGGUAACGGCAUACCAAGACGAUGAUAGGUAGGGGUCCUGAGAGGGAGAUCCCCCACACUGGUACUGAGACACGGACCAGACUCCUACGGGAGGCAGCAGUGAGGAAUAUUGGACAAUGGGCGCAAGCCUGAUCCAGCCAUGCCGCGUGCAGGAAGACGGUCCUAUGGAUUGUAAACUGCUUUUAUACAGGAAGAAACACUGGUUCGUGAACCAGCUUGACGGUACUGUAAGAAUAAGGAUCGGCUAACUCCGUGCCAGCAGCCG
rnacentral:rRNA from 1 species